GAAAUGGGAGAAACUCGGGAUUUUGGAGGAAGAGGUUGAAGGGGGCAAAAGGAGUUGAAGUUAGGCUUUAUAGGUUGGUUACGUGUUGAGAAAGGUUGUGGUUUCUCACCAACUUGGCUCGGUGUUGUUUGUCAUCCUUUAUAGAAUAAGCAAGAUUGAUAGGAUGGGGUUAGAAAACAAACAUCCUUUUUAGCAGUUUAAUUCCGACAUAAGCAGAACCGUGAAAAAAAAAACAGAAGAACUGUGAAAAAAAAAGAAGAAGAUGAAGACAUGACUUUAUCCAAACCAGUUAAUCAGGGUCGUCCAUGUAAAAUGUACAAAAGAAGAUCUGAUGGUUGAGAUAUAAGACAGAUAUAAGUCUUGUCAUAUAUCUUAAAAUUAAUCUGGACCAUUGAGAUGGUGAAUAGAUGAGUGGUGGAGAUUAAUUCCCGCUAAAACAAUGGUUUAGUUAGUCAGCAUGUUAGUUGCAAGAAGACUAGUUUGUUACACAAAAAAGAAGCUGUUAGGAUAA
rnacentral:lncRNA from 1 species